UCGGGAAUAUUGGACAAUGGGCGAAAGCCUGAUCCAGCCAUGCCGCGUGAGUGACGAAGGCCUUAGGGUUGUAAAACUCUUUCGUCGGGGACGAUAAUGACGGUACCCGAAGAAGAAGCUCCGGCUAACUUCGUGCCAGCAGCCGCGGUAAUACGAAGGGAGCUAGCGUUGUUCGUAAUCACUGGGCGUAAAGCGCACGUAGGCGGAUAGUUAAGUCAGGGGUGAAAUCCUGGGGCUCAACCCCAGAACUGCCUUUGAUACUGGCUGUCUCGAGGUCGAGAGAGGUUGGUGGAAUUCCUAGUGUAGAGGUGAAAUUCGUAGAUAUUAGGAAGAACACCAGUGGCGAAGGCGGCCAACUGGCUCGAUACUGACGCUGAGGUGCGAAAGCGUGGGGAGCAAACAGGAUUAGAUACCCUCGUAGUCCCUGAG
rnacentral:rRNA from 1 species